UGCUCCCCGUGUGCCAGAGUGACACAGCUCUGAGACAGAUCUAGAAACUUUGCUGGGAGAUGAUGCAGGGCAGGAAAACCACACAAGAUGUCAGGAAGGAGAACGAAGUGUUUCCAUCUUGGUCACUGGAGCUCCAUCUCAUGGUGUGUUUCAUGACCUCCUCCAUGGCUGCAGGAGGAAAUUCCCUGUGAGGGGAAGGCUCUUUCUGCACUGGUGAUUAUAGAGGGGGCUCAUUUCCCUGCUGGAGCUCAGGAGCAUCCCUUGGUGGGGUGGAACACGUUCCAGAAGCCCCCUGGAGAAGCAGCUUUUGUGCAGAGCUGAUGUCUCACUAGAGCAUCACCUCCAAGCCCUGGCACAGCUGGGACAGGACCUGUGGCACGGCUCUGGGGCUGCUCCUGAUGCCUCAGCUUUGGCUUUUAUAUUUUUCAGGUUCUGUGCUGCUUUAGUGUGUGGG
rnacentral:lncRNA from 1 species